rnacentral:rRNA from 1 species
UACGUAGGGGGCGAGCGUUGUUCGGAAUUACUGGGCGUAAAGGGCGCGUAGGCGGCUUGGUCAGUCCCGUGUGAAAUCCCUCGGCUCAACUGAGGAACUGCACGGGAAACUGCCUGGCUUGAGUUCGGGAGAGGGGAGCGGAAUUCCGGGUGUAGCGGUGAAAUGCGUAGAUAUCCGGAGGAACACCGGUGGCGAAGGCGGCUUCCUGGACCGACACUGACGCUGAGGCGCGAAAGCUAGGGGAGCAAACGGG